rnacentral:lncRNA from 1 species
GGGAACUAAUCAGGUGCGCGCGGGUCUUCCCCCGAUCACAAAAUAAAAACGUAUCAAGCAGACGCGUGUGAAAGAUUAGUUACCCGAUUUGACUCUGCCACGUGUCGACAUAAUGUAUAUAUUUUAUUUGGAGCAUUUCCAUUAUGGGCUUUUUAGAAUAAAUGGUCUGAAAGGCCCAUUUAAGAGUUUUUCUUCUUCUUCCUCUUUUUUUUUUAAAUUAAUUAAUUAAUCUACUAAUAAUAGCAAUCCCAAUUAAUAUCAAAAUAUUGUGUUUUUUCAACAUAAAUAGUGCAUUUUUUUUUUGAGUUUCUAGUUAGUUUUAAGUUGAUGUUGUCCAAAAAAAAUAGUGCAUUUUUUAAAGAAAUUGUUAAAAUGUAUAAAAAUGUGUCUUUUCAUAAAACUGUGUCUUUUCAAUAUUUUAAAAGGUAUAACAAUGUGUUUUUAUCAUAAUUUUUUAUAAAAUUUUAAAAUGUUAUCUUUUAUCUAAAAUAUGUUUUU